GAUGUCAUCGUCAAUACAGAAACAUAAGCAUAAACAUAACUUACAUUCAUAUACACUAGUGAUCUACAUCUUUUUUAAAUCCCUCAGUGUAAAGUAGCUUCAUAUUGACAUCUGUGAUACAAAUAAGCUUGAGUGGGUCAGGGUGGGAAACCUGGUGAGUACAUAGGGUUUUCAACCCACAAUAAUAUAAUUAUUAUGUUAAAACAUCAAACAAUCAACUCAAUUACCCAUCCCUAUUAUCUUCUUUACUCUUAAGGAUCUACCCUAAGAUUCAGCUAUUCCUCGUUCAUUCAUUCCUAAGGAAUCGACACUAAGUAUGCAUAGUCGCCAGGGUUUAUCUCGUUUAUUGACAGUAUUGUUUUUGAGAGUUCACUCGCAAUACAUGUCAAUGGGUUUUUAGAGUACACCAGGUGAACACAUCGUUCACAACACCUACAGGUUGUGAGCCUGCUAGUGUUCCACUAGACUAUCUAAAAUAGUCCGUGGUUGUCAUCCAUACUUUGCUAGAUGACGGGGCCAUCGCUUGGGUCAUCGUUUGGCUCAUCGUUUUGGCUCAUCGCUUUGGCUCAUCGCUUCACACCAUAAUUUAUCACUCAUAUAUCACUGCUCAUCAUUCAUCUCAUCUUUCAUUGCUCAUUAUUUAUCUCAUAUUUCAUCGCUCAUCAUUUAUCUCACCUCUAAUAUACCCAUGUUUUACCCAACAUAUUUUUAAAUAAGUUAUUACAUAAAACCAUCAGUAUAAAAACAUUCAUAGUAAUAUCUCGUGUCAAACCAAAGUGUUAGUAAUCAAAACAUAUUAUCAUAAAACCAUAUCAGAGUGUAAUCCCCAAAGAUCUCAUGUGCGGAAAACAUAGUGUGAUGCGCUGCGAUCAAGCCGACUCCUUUCCUUUGAAACAAAGCACCUGAAACCAAAACUGUAAACCGUAAGCACGAAGCUUAGUGAGUUCCCCCAUCAUACCACAUACCAUGCAAUCACAUAGCAUACAUACUGUACAAUCAUAUAACAUACCAUACUUGUCAGGCAUUUCCGGGGUGCCCGACCUACCUGGUACGACCAUUCUGGGGUGCCGUCCUACCCGUGUGGCCAUUCUGGGGUGCCGACCACCCUUCGGUCCUAACAACUAAACCUCGGGGACUGUUUCACCCCCUACCACUACUAUUAUCACAUAUCAUAACAUAACAUACUAUCAGACAUAUCUAGGGUGUCUGACUACCCUUCGGUCCUAACAACCGAACUCGGGGACUGUUCCCCUCCUACUACCCCUAACACAUAUCUCAGAUCAUGCUAGCAUAUAAUCAUGACAUCACAUACUUUCAGACGUAUCUGGGGUGUCUGACUACCCUUUGGUCCUAACAACUAAACUUUACUACUAUAACACAUCAAGCUAGCAUAUAACAUAUCAGGUAGUAGCAAAACUAGAUGAUAUCACAAAGAUAAUCAUUUAACACACAACUCCUACCGGUGGGCCGCCAUUGUGGCCGUAGACCCACCACUACACUGCUGAAGUCCCGUAGACUCAACCCCAUACUACUGAAAUCCUGUUGACUCAACCACAGCUGCUGGAUGACAGAUUCACGAUCUGUCAAUAUCAAAACAUAACCCAAUUAAUAAUUGGGUCCCACUACAUAACCAUAAACACUUACUUUGGAUAAUUACUACAUUACCCCAAGCUUGGCUUAUUCAAGCCCAAUGCCCAAUCCGUAGGCCUAAAGUCAACUAGGAAUCAACACCCCACAUAUGGCCCAAUUUUCCAAAUUGGGCCCAAGCCUAUAUACGGUCUUCUUCUAAGGCCCAACAUUAUAUAAUCAUUAAGGCCCAAACUAUGGCCCAAUUUUCCAAAUUGGCCCCAAACCCCUUACAUGGGCCAUACCCCAGGCCCAUUAAAUUAUUCUAGUUCAAUUGCUUGUUCUUGGAUGGUCCAUUGUUAUCUCAAUCAUUUAGGCCCAAUAGAAAGGCCCAAUAAUAAACCCAAAUGAAAUUAGGGUUUCACAUAAAAUGACGAUUAGGGUUAAGUUUCCUACUUAACCCAUUAAGGACUUAAUCCUCUAAGGACUUAAUCAAUUAAGUCAAAUAUUGCUUGGAUUAAUUAUUUUUUUGCCAAUGAUUAUUAUUUAAUAUCUCAAGUUAUUAAAUAAUUCCCCGCGUGUCCCGAUUACUUCCCAAAUUAGGGUUUUGAUGGAAUUAGGGUUUUCAAAACCCUAAUUAGGGUUUCCAACCCAAAUACUAGCCCAUUUAAUAAUUUAUUGGGCUUGUAGGUCAAUUAGGGCUUUAUUGGGCCUAUUAAGCCUACUAGAAUACCAUUAAGCCCAUUAGGGUUUUAUUAGGGUCCAUUAGAGUCCAUUAAGCUUCAUUGGGUCCAUUUGAGCUUCUUUGGGCCCAUUAGGGUUUCAAGCAUCCCCAAUCGAGUCAGCUCACAAGACAAGCACACCGCCACCCGACACGGCGGCCGGUGGCGGCAGCCANNNNNNNNNNNNNNNNNNNNNNNNNNNNNNNNNNNNNNNNNNNNNNNNNNNNNNNNNNNNNNNNNNNNNNNNNNNNNNNNNNNNNNNNNNNACAUGGUGUUUCAAGGCGGCAGCCACCACCUCACGGUGGUGGCGGUGGUUGUUCUUGAUAUUCCGGCCAAACAAGCCACUCACGACGCACACACAUAGAAAACACACACACACAUUUUGAAGAGUGGUUCACACACCAGCCACCCACCUGGUGGCUCCUGGCAACGACAACAACAAUUCUGAGAUGGCAGCCACGACCGUGAGGUGGCGGUGGCGGCGAUUUCCGUUGGUUCCAACGCAAGCAGCAACAAAGGCGGCAGGCGGU
rnacentral:lncRNA from 1 species